CACGUAGGGCGCAAGCGUUGUCCGGAAUUAUUGGGCGUAAAGAGCUCGUAGGCGGUCUGUUGCGUCCGCUGUGAAAACUCGGGGCUUAACCCCGAGCCUGCAGUGGAUACGGGCAGACUAGAGUGCGGUAGGGGAGACUGGAAUUCCUGGUGUAGCGGUGAAUGCGCAGAUAUCAGGAGGAACACCGGUGGCGAAGGCGGGUCUCUGGGCAGUAACUGACGCUGAGGAGCGAAAGCGUGGGGAGCGAACAGG
rnacentral:rRNA from 1 species